rnacentral:tRNA from 1 species
CAGGGUGGAAGCUUGUGCAUGCAGAUGUGUUCCGCCCGCCAGCAUCGUUGCCAAUGCUGUUCUGUGUGGCUGUUGGAA